UACAACUCUGAGCGGUGGAUCACUCGGCUCGUGUGUCGAUGAAGAGCGCAGCCAACUGUGUGAAUUAAUGUGAACUGCAUACUGCUUUGAACAUCGACAYUU
rnacentral:rRNA from 1 species